GAGUUUGAUCCUGGCUCAGGAUGAACGCUAGCGGCAGGCUUAACACAUGCAAGUCGAGGGGUAACAGGUAGCUUGCUGUGCUGACGACCGGCGCACGGGUGAGUAACGCGUAUACAAUCUGCCUUGUACUGAGGGAUAGCCCAGAGAAAUUUGGAUUAAUACCUCAUAGCAUAUAGACUCCACCUGGAGAUUAUAUUAAAGGUUACGGUACAAGAUGAGUAUGCGUUCUAUUAGCUAGAUGGUAAGGUAACGGCUUACCAUGGCAACGAUAGAUAGGGGCCCUGAGAGGGGGAUCCCCCACACUGGUACUGAGACACGGACCAGACUCCUACGGGAGGCAGCAGUGAGGAAUAUUGGACAAUGGGCGAGAGCCUGAUCCAGCCAUGCCGCGUGCAGGAUGACUGCCCUAUGGGUUGUAAACUGCUUUUAUACAGGAAGAAACACUCCCUCGUGAGGGAGCUUGACGGUACUGUAAGAAUAAGGAUCGGCUAACUCCGUGCCAGCAGCCGCGGUAAUACGGAGGAUCCAAGCGUUAUCCGGAAUCAUUGGGUUUAAAGGGUCCGUAGGUGGAUAAUUAAGUCAGAGGUGAAAUCCUGCAGCUCAACUGUAGAAUUGCCUUUGAUACUGGUUAUCUUGAGUUAUUAUGAAGUAGUUAGAAUAUGUGGUGUAGCGGUGAAAUGCAUAGAUAUCACAUAGAAUACCAAUUGCGAAGGCAGAUUACUAAUAAUAUACUGACACUGAUGGACGAAAGCGUGGGGAGCGAACAGGAUUAGAUACCCUGGUAGUCCACGCCGUAAACGAUGGUUACUAGUUGUUCGAACUUCGGUUUGAGUGACUAAGCGAAAGUGAUAAGUAACCCACCUGGGGAGUACGUUCGCAAGAAUGAAACUCAAAGGAAUGACGG
rnacentral:rRNA from 1 species